AUGAACGCUGGCGGCGUGCCUAAUACAUGCAAGUCGAGCGAACAGAUGAGGAGCUUGCUCCUCUGACGUUAGCGGCGGACGGGUGAGUAACACGUGGAUAACCUACCUAUAAGACUGGGAUAACUUCGGGAAACCGGAGCUAAUACCGGAUAAUAUAUUGAACCGCAUGGUUCAAUAGUGUAAGACGGUUUUGCUGUCACUUAUAGAUGGAUCCGCGCCGCAUUAGCUAGUUGGUAAGGUAACGGCUUACCAAGGCAACGAUGCGUAGCCGACCUGAGAGGGUGAUCGGCCACACUGGAACUGAGACACGGUCCAGACUCCUACGGGAGGCAGCAGUAGGGAAUCUUCCGCAAUGGGCGAAAGCCUGACGGAGCAACGCCGCGUGAGUGAUGAAGGUCUUCGGAUCGUAAAACUCUGUUAUUAGGGAAGAACAAAUGUGUAAGUAACUAUGCACGUCUUGACGGUACCUAAUCAGAAAGCCACGGCUAACUACGUG
rnacentral:rRNA from 1 species